rnacentral:rRNA from 1 species
CCUACGGGUGGCAGCAGUGGGGAAUAUUGGACAAUGGGGGGAACCCUGAUCCAGCCAUGCCGCGUGUGUGAAGAAGGCCCUCGGGUUGUAAAGCACUUUCAGUGAGGAAGAACGCCUGGUGGUUAAUACCCAUCAGGAAAGACAUCACUCACAGAAGAAGCACCGGCUAACUCCGUGCCAGCAGCCGCGGUAAUACGGAGGGUGCGAGCGUUAAUCGGAAUUACUGGGCGUAAAGCGCGCGUAGGUGGCUUGAUAAGCCGGUUGUGAAAGCCCCGGGCUCAACCUGGGAACGGCAUCCGGAACUGUCAAGCUAGAGUGCAGGAGAGGAAGGUAGAAUUCCCGGUGUAGCGGUGAAAUGCGUAGAGAUCGGGAGGAAUACCAGUGGCGAAGGCGGCCUUCUGGACUGACACUGACACUAAGGUGCGAAAGCGUGGGUAGCAAACAGGAUUAGAUACCCGGGUAGUC